GUGGGGUUGUGGUCAGUGGUAAAGUGCAUGCCUACCAUGUGUGAGGCACUGGGUUCGAUCCUCAGCACCACA
rnacentral:tRNA from 1 species